rnacentral:tRNA from 1 species
GGGCGACUAGCUCAGUGGUAGAGCGCGUCACUGAUAAUGACGAGGUCGGAGGUUCGAUCCCUCCGUCGCCCA